rnacentral:lncRNA from 1 species
GGGGGCAGUAUCUGAACACUUGAAAUCUUGAGGGACGAAGACUCUCAGCCAUCUUAGAUUAUUAAUUACCAUCAAUCCUGUUUGUUUUUUUUUCUUAUUCUACCUCUUCCUCUUCUCUUCCUCCUCCUCUUCUUCCCCCUUCUCCCUCCUGUGCCCGCCUCCUCCUCCCUCCUCCUCCCUCCUCCUCCUCCUUCCUGUUUUUAGACAAACCAGAUUCAAAGUUUGCUUCUUUUUAGUUGAAUUUUAUUACAAGAAAAGCAAACAUUCUAACUGAAGGAUUUUGUACCAUCAAUCAAGUCUCUAACUUUUUGCUUUUUUUAGUGUUGUGGAUUAAAUUCAAGAUGCCCUAUAUCACCAAUCACCAGUCAGUCCCUGUGAUGGUUUGUAUAUCCUUGGACCAGGGAGUGGCACCAUCUGAAGGUAUGGCCUUGUUGGAAUAGGUGUGACCUGGUUGGAAUGGGUGUGUCACUGUAAGUGUGGGUAUAAGAUCCUCACCCUAGUUGCCUGGAAAUCAGUCUUCCACUAGCAGCCUUUGGAUAGAGACAUAGAACUCUCAGCUCCUGUGCCAUGCCUGCCUGGAUACUGCCAUGCUCCCACCUUGAUGAUAAUAGACUGAACCUCUGAACCUAUAAGCCAGCCCCAAUUAAAUGUUGUUUUUUAUAAGA